GAGGCUGCCUUUGUGUGUGUUUAAGAGAGACUGCAUGGAACUGCAGAGGGCUAAGAUGCUUACACCAACCAGCUUCUGGGGAGAAACUAUAUGUAAAGGAAUAUGGAAUAAAAACGAACUCCUAAGAUGUACAACGGAACAUAAUGAAGAUCUGUUUCUCAGUUCGAACAAAACUUGGAAACUUUCCUCAGCUUUCUGAUCCACCGCCUAUGUGAUGAUGUAAAGAAAACUCAGAGUAAGGGUGCCAAAGGACCUCCUCCUCCUUUUCUAAAACCCUCUAUUGCAAAAUGGUCACUUUCCGCAGGCAUAGUGCAUCUAUCUAGUUACCAAGGAAUUUAAGAAAGGGAUUCUACAAGAUGAGAAGAACAAGAUAUCCUUAUUAUUGAAUAUACUGUUUGUUCUUAUGGUGGCUCUUAUUUUUGUGUCCUAUAGUUCAUGGUGGUUUAACAAAACAAAGCAUUGAGUGGGAUAAAAAUUCCACAAAGCUAGAUAAAGGUCACCAAAAACAGAUGGGGCUUCCAUUGAUUCAUCUACUCUAAUUUUUUGUAUGCUCACUGGCAAAGGCUCCUUUCUGUACCUUAAAAAAGGUACAAACAUUUUUACUGAACAUAAGCUCAGCUGUAAAACAUGAAUGUCAUAAUUAAAAUAACCAAAUCAUUAACAUUUUAAUUAAAAAAAAUGUGAG